rnacentral:rRNA from 1 species
UACGGGGGGGGCAAGCGUUGUUCGGAAUUACUGGGCGUAAAGGGCGCGUAGGCGGCCUGCUAAGUCGGACGUGAAAUCCCUCGGCUCAACCGGGGAACUGCGUCCGAUACUGGCGAGGCUUGAAUCCGGGAGAGGGAUGUGGAAUUCCAGGUGUAGCGGUGAAAUGCGUAGAUAUCUGGAGGAACACCAGUGGCGAAAGCGGCGCGCUGGACCACUACUGACGCUGAGGAACGAAAGCUAGGGGAGCAAACAGG